rnacentral:rRNA from 1 species
GACGAACGCUGGCGGCGUGCCUAAUACAUGCAAGUUGAGCGCUGAAGGUUGGUACUUGUACCGACUGGAUGAGCAGCGAACGGGUGAGUAACGCGUGGGGAAUCUGCCUUUGAGCGGGGGACAACAUUUGGAAACGAAUGCUAAUACCGCAUAAAAACUUUAAACACAAGUUUUAAGUUUGAAAGAUGCAAUUGCAUCACUCAAAGAUGAUCCCGCGUUGUAUUAGCUAGUUGGUGAGGUAAAGGCUCACCAAGGCGAUGAUACAUAGCCGACCUGAGAGGGUGAUCGGCCACAUUGGGACUGAGACACGGCCCAAACUCCUACGGGAGGCAGCAGUAGGGAAUCUUCGGCAAUGGACGAAAGUCUGACCGAGCAACGCCGCGUGUGUGAAGAAGGUUUUCGGAUCGUAAAACUCUGUUGGUAGAGAAGAACGUUGGUGAGAGUGGAAAGCUCAUCAAGUGACGGUAACUACCCAGAAAGGGACGGCUAACUACGUG